CGCCGCGGUUAUACGAGAGGCUCAAGUCGACAGAAACCGGCGUAAAGGGUGGUUAAGACAUAAAAUGCUAGAGGAAAAUGUCUUCCAAGCUGUUAUACGCACCCGGAGAUAAGAAAAACUUAAACGAAAGCCCCUCCAAUAGAUAUGAACCCACGACAGCUUUGGUA
rnacentral:rRNA from 1 species